GAGGGUAUAGCUCAAGUGCUAGAGCACAUGUUUCACGUGCAUGAGGUCCUGGGUUCAAUACCCAGUACCUCUU
rnacentral:tRNA from 1 species